UGGGGAAUAUUGCACAAUGGGCGAAAGCCUGAUGCAGCAACGCCGCGUGAGUGAUGAAGGCCUUCGGGUUGUAAAGCUCUGUCUUUUGGGACGAUAAUGACGGUACCAAAGGAGGAAGCCACGGCUAACUACGUGCCAGCAGCCGCGGUAAUACGUAGGUGGCAAGCGUUGUCCGGAUUUACUGGGCGUAAAGGAUGCGUAGGCGGAUUUUUAAGUGAGAUGUGAAAUACCCGGGCUUAACUUGGGUGCCGCAUUUCAAACUGGGAAUCUAGAGUGCGGGAGAGGAGAAUGGAAUUCCUAGUGUAGCGGUGAAAUGCGUAGAGAUUAGGAAGAACACCAGUGGCGAAGGCGAUUCUCUGGACCGUAACUGACGCUGAGGCAUGAAAGCGUGGGUAGCAAACAGGAUUAGAUACCCUGGUAGUCCACGCCGUAAACGAUGAGUACUAGGUGUAGGAGGUAUCGACCCCUUCUGUGCCGCAGUUAACACAAUAAGUACUCCGCCUGGGAAGUACGAUCGCAAGAUU
rnacentral:rRNA from 1 species